GAUUUUCGCAAUGCCCGAAAGGGUCUGACCUAUCCCUGGAGGAAGCACGGGCUAAGUUCGUGCCAGCAGCCGCGGUAAGACGAACCGUGCGAACGUUGUUCGGAAUCACUGGGCUUAAAGGGCGCGUAGGCGGGCCGCAAAGUCAGGGGUGAAAUCCUCCAGCUCAACUGGAGAACUGCCUUUGAUACUGGCGGCCUGGAGUAAGGUAGGGGCAUGCGGAACUGAUGGUGGAGCGGUGAAAUGUGUUGAUAUCAUCAGGAACUCCGGUGGCGAAAGCGGCGUGCUGGACCUUUACUGACGCUGAGGCGCGAAAGCCAGGGGAGCAAACGGGAUUAGAUACCCCGGUAGUCCUGGCCCUAAACGAUGGGCACUAAGUAGAGGGGUUUU
rnacentral:rRNA from 1 species